CCUGAUGCAGCAACGCCGCGUGCGGGAUGACGGCCUUCGGGUUGUAAACCGCUUUUAGUAGGGAAGAAGGGCUUCGGCUUGACGGUACCUGCAGAAAAAGGACCGGCUAACUACGUGCCAGCAGCCGCGGUAAUACGUAGGGUCCGAGCGUUGUCCGGAAUUAUUGGGCGUAAAGAGCUCGUAGGCGGUUUGUCGCGUCUGCUGUGAAAUCUGGAGGCUCAACCUCCAGCCUGCAGUGGGUACGGGCAGACUAGAGUGCGGUAGGGGAGAAUGGAAUUCCUGGUGUAGCGGUGGAAUGCGCAGAUAUCAGGAGGAACACCGAUGGCGAAGGCAGUUCUCUGGGCCGUAACUGACGCUGAGGAGCGAAAGCGUGGGGAGCGAACAGGAUUAGAUACCCUGGUAGUCCACGCCGUAAACGUUGGGCGCUAGAUGUGGGGACCUUUCCACGGUUUCCGUGUCGUAGCUAACGCAUUAAGCGCCCCGCCUGGGGAGUACGGCCGCAAGGCUAAAACUCAAAGGAAUUGACGGGGGCCCGCACAAGCGGCGGAGCAUGCGGAUUAAUUCGAUGCAACGCGAAGAACCUUACCAAGGCUUGACAUAACCGAGAACGCCCUAGAAAUAGGGAACUCUUUGGAC
rnacentral:rRNA from 1 species